rnacentral:rRNA from 1 species
CAGCCGCCGCGGUAAUACGUAGGGUGCGAGCGUUAAUCGGAAUUACUGGGCGUAAAGCGUGCGCAGGCGGUUCGUUAAGACAGAUGUGAAAUCCCCGGGCUUAACCUGGGAACUGCAUUUGUGACUGGCGAGCUAGAGUAUGGCAGAGGGGGGUAGAAUUCCACGUGUAGCAGUGAAGUGCGUAGAGAUGUGGAGGAAUACCGAUGGCGAAGGCAGCCCCCUGGGCCAAUACUGACGCUCAUGCACGAAAGCGUGGGGAGCAAACAGGAUUAGAUACCCGAGUAGUCCCUGUCUCUUAUAC